UUAAGCGACUAAGCGUACACGGUGGAUGCCCUGGCAGUCAGAGGCGAUGAAGGACGUGCUAAUCUGCGAUAAGCGUCGGUGAGGUGAUAUGAACCGUUAUAACCGGCGAUUUCCGAAUGGGGAAACCCAGUGUGUUUCGACACACUAUCAUUAACUGAAUCCAUAGGUUAAUGAGGCGAACCGGGGGAACUGAAACAUCUAAGUACCCCGAGGAAAAGAAAUCAACCGAGAUUCCCCCAGUAGCGGCGAGCGAACGGGGAGGAGCCCAGAGCCUGAAUCAGUGUGUGUGUUAGUGGAAGCGUCUGGAAAGGCGCGCGAUACAGGGUGACAGCCCCGUACACAAAAAUGCACAUAUUGUGAGCUCGAUGAGUAGGGCGGGACACGUGGUAUCCUGUCUGAAUAUGGGGGGACCAUCCUCUAAGGCUAAAUACUCCUGACUGACCGAUAGUGAACCAGUACCGUGAGGGAAAGGCGAAAAGAACCCCGGCGAGGGGAGUGAAAAAGAACCUGAAACCGUGUACGUACAAGCAGUGGGAGCCUCUUUAUGGGGUGACUGCGUACCUUUUGUAUAAUGGGUCAGCGACUUAUAUUCUGUAGCAAGGUUAACCGAAUAGGGGAGCCGAAGGGAAACCGAGUCUUAACUGGGCGUUAAGUUGCAGGGUAUAGACCCGAAACCCGGUGAUCUAGCCAUGGGCAGGUUGAAGGUUGGGUAACACUAACUGGAGGACCGAACCGACUAAUGUUGAAAAAUUAGCGGAUGACUUGUGGCUGGGGGUGAAAGGCCAAUCAAACCGGGAGAUAGCUGGUUCUCCCCGAAAGCUAUUUAGGUAGCGCCUCGUGAAUUCAUCUCCGGGGGUAGAGCACUGUUUCGGCAAGGGGGUCAUCCCGACUUACCAACCCGAUGCAAACUGCGAAUACCGGAGAAUGUUAUCACGGGAGACACACGGCGGGUGCUAACGUCCGUCGUGAAGAGGGAAACAACCCAGACCGCCAGCUAAGGUCCCAAAGUCAUGGUUAAGUGGGAAACGAUGUGGGAAGGCCCAGACAGCCAGGAUGUUGGCUUAGAAGCAGCCAUCAUUUAAAGAAAGCGUAAUAGCUCACUGGUCGAGUCGGCCUGCGCGGAAGAUGUAACGGGGCUAAACCAUGCACCGAAGCUGCGGCAGCGACACUAUGUGUUGUUGGGUAGGGGAGCGUUCUGUAAGCCUGUGAAGGUGGCCUGUGAGGGUUGCUGGAGGUAUCAGAAGUGCGAAUGCUGACAUAAGUAACGAUAAAGCGGGUGAAAAGCCCGCUCGCCGGAAGACCAAGGGUUCCUGUCCAACGUUAAUCGGGGCAGGGUGAGUCGACCCCUAAGGCGAGGCCGAAAGGCGUAGUCGAUGGGAAACAGGUUAAUAUUCCUGUACUUGGUGUUACUGCGAAGGGGGGACGGAGAAGGCUAUGUUGGCCGGGCGACGGUUGUCCCGGUUUAAGCGUGUAGGCUGGUUUUCCAGGCAAAUCCGGAAAACCAAGGCUGAGGCGUGAUGACGAGGCACUACGGUGCUGAAGCGACAAAUGCCCUGCUUCCAGGAAAAGCCUCUAAGCAUCAGGUAACAUCAAAUCGUACCCCAAACCGACACAGGUGGUCAGGUAGAGAAUACCAAGGCGCUUGAGAGAACUCGGGUGAAGGAACUAGGCAAAAUGGUGCCGUAACUUCGGGAGAAGGCACGCUGAUAUGUAGGUGAAGCGACUUGCUCGUGGAGCUGAAAUCAGUCGAAGAUACCAGCUGGCUGCAACUGUUUAUUAAAAACACAGCACUGUGCAAACACGAAAGUGGACGUAUACGGUGUGACGCCUGCCCGGUGCCGGAAGGUUAAUUGAUGGGGUUAGCGGUAACGCGAAGCUCUUGAUCGAAGCCCCGGUAAACGGCGGCCGUAACUAUAACGGUCCUAAGGUAGCGAAAUUCCUUGUCGGGUAAGUUCCGACCUGCACGAAUGGCGUAAUGAUGGCCAGGCUGUCUCCACCCGAGACUCAGUGAAAUUGAACUCGCUGUGAAGAUGCAGUGUACCCGCGGCAAGACGGAAAGACCCCGUGAACCUUUACUAUAGCUUGACACUGAACAUUGAGCCUUGAUGUGUAGGAUAGGUGGGAGGCUUUGAAGUGUGGACGCCAGUCUGCAUGGAGCCGACCUUGAAAUACCACCCUUUAAUGUUUGAUGUUCUAACGUUGGCCCGUAAUCCGGGUUGCGGACAGUGUCUGGUGGGUAGUUUGACUGGGGCGGUCUCCUCCUAAAGAGUAACGGAGGAGCACGAAGGUUGGCUAAUCCUGGUCGGACAUCAGGAGGUUAGUGCAAUGGCAUAAGCCAGCUUGACUGCGAGCGUGACGGCGCGAGCAGGUGCGAAAGCAGGUCAUAGUGAUCCGGUGGUUCUGAAUGGAAGGGCCAUCGCUCAACGGAUAAAAGGUACUCCGGGGAUAACAGGCUGAUACCGCCCAAGAGUUCAUAUCGACGGCGGUGUUUGGCACCUCGAUGUCGGCUCAUCACAUCCUGGGGCUGAAGUAGGUCCCAAGGGUAUGGCUGUUCGCCAUUUAAAGUGGUACGCGAGCUGGGUUUAGAACGUCGUGAGACAGUUCGGUCCCUAUCUGCCGUGGGCGCUGGAGAACUGAGGGGGGCUGCUCCUAGUACGAGAGGACCGGAGUGGACGCAUCACUGGUGUUCGGGUUGUCAUGCCAAUGGCACUGCCCGGUAGCUAAAUGCGGAAGAGAUAAGUGCUGAAAGCAUCUAAGCACGAAACUUGCCCCGAGAUGAGUUCUCCCUGACUCCUUGAGAGUCCUGAAGGAACGUUGAAGACGACGACGUUGAUAGGCCGGGUGUGUAAGCGCAGCGAUGCGUUGAGCUAACCGGUACUAAUGAACCGUGAGGCUUAACCUU
rnacentral:rRNA from 2 species